rfam:Caprimulgus carolinensis contig11326, whole genome shotgun sequence.
AGUUCACUAACCAACUGAGCCAUACACUAAAAUUGGAACAAUACAGGGAAGAUUAGCAUGAUCCCUGCAUAAGGAUGACAAGUUCAUGAAGCGUUCCAUAUUUUC